CAGCCUGGACCCGGCAGAGAGGCCCUAGGAGCAGUGUGAGGAGGGGGGAGCAGCGUGAGGAGGGGAAACAGCCUGGACCCGGCAGAGAGGCCCGAGGAGCAGUGUGAGGAAGGGGGAGCAGUGUGAGGAGGGGGAAGCAGCCUGGACCCGGCAGAGAGGCCCAAGGAGCAGUGUGAGGAGAGGAAAGGCCUGGACCCGGCAGAGAGGCCCGGCUUUCCCACAGCCUAUGUUCUGAUGUAGGGCUCCAGCCAGUCACCCAAUCAACAACCCAGUCACUGUGAAAGUGUCAUGGGCAUUACGCAGAUAACUGCCUAGGAUGGUGUGGAGUGACGGGAGGGCUGCUUUCGGUUGGGUAGCUAGGGAAGAUGGCUUCAAAGUCACAUUUAAGCCUCCUCACGUUGCUGAGAAGGGGCCAGUCGGAUACAGCUCAGCAGAGAAGAGCUUCCCAGGCAGAGGUGCUGUUUCUGAAGACCUGAAGGUAGAAGUGGAUUUGGUCUGUUUGAGCAACAGAGUGAGCCGUGAGUGGGAAGGGAAGGAGACAGUGGCGGAAGAGAAGGAUGAGUGACAAACCAGGGCUCUGUAAAGCGGAGGGAGGGUUAGAUUGCAUUCUUAGGGUGCUGGGAAGUCACUGGAGAGUUUUAAGCUGGGCAAAGCCUUGAUCUGAUUUAUUUAUUGGAAAUACCCCUCUGACAGCUGGUAGAGAGUGGACUAUAGGAGGGUGAGAGCAGAGGGAACAGAGAAAUGACAGUGCCAUCCACAGUCCCAGAUGAGAAGUGUUUAGACCAGGACAGCCACAGCAGAGGCAGAGAGGAGGCCAGUUUGGAUCUGUGUGGGAGAGAGGGGCGACAGCCUUGCUGAAAGGCUUGCCACGAGAGUGAAGAAAAGAGAAGAAUCAAGAAUGACCCCGGCUUUUAACCUGAGCAACUGAGAAAGAGGACUGAGGGAGGAAGAGGUAUGAAAGGGGACAGACGUCAGGAGUUGUAAGGUCUGAAAGGGUCAUUCAACUUCCCAUUGGAGGUGUUGGGUCAGAUGCCACUAGAUGUGUGGGCCUGAGAUUCCAGAGGGACCCUAUCAGUGUAGAUACAGGUUAGGGAAUUGUCCUCGGAGAGGUGGUAUUUAAAUCCUAGAAGGGGAGGGUAGACAGAGAAGAGAACGGGUGCACACAAGUCGCUGAGUGUCGCGUAGAGGACAUUGACGUUGUGGAAAGCGAGGCUGUGUCUGUACUACAGCAUUGGUUGAAAAAAACAGAAGAAGAGGCUUCUCAGGGCAUAAAGGAAAAGCUGUCCAUCAACUACCCUUCCCAGGGCGUAAGGGAGAAGAUGUCCACGGACUCCCCUCCCACCCAUGGCCAGGACGUCCAUGUGACCAGAGACGUGGUGAAGCACCACCUCUCUAAGUCUGAUAUGUCGGCAAACCAGAGCCAAGAGGUCCUAGAGGAGAGAACACGAAUCCAGUUCAUAAGAUGGAGCCACACUCGUAUCUUCCAAGUGCCAAGUGAGAUGACAGAGGACAUCAUGCGAGAUCGAAUAGAGCAGGUGAGACGAAGCAUCUCCCGUCUUGCAGAUGUCUCAGCUCAGGACUUCAGUAUGAGACCCUCCUACUCAGACUGCUAAGAGCAACAGGUGGAAGUCCUUCAGGGUCCAGCAGCAACCUGUAUCAGAAGAACAUCCUUCUCUGCUUGACCUGACGAAGGGCCAGACCUGGGCAGAAAGACUCCAGCAGGUGAGCUCUUCGUGCGACAGUGUCAGCACUGGAGUCUUCUUGCUGAACUGUGAAUAAAGAGACGUGCUAUUUAACAACUCA